rnacentral:rRNA from 1 species
UACGUAGGGUGCAAGCGUUAAUCGGAAUUACUGGGCGUAAAGCGUGCGCAGGCGGCUUUGCAAGACAGAUGUGAAAUCCCCGGGCUCAACCUGGGAACUGCAUUUGUGACUGCAUGGCUGGAGUGUGGCAGAGGGGGAUGGAAUUCCGCGUGUAGCAGUGAAAUGCGUAGAUAUGCGGAGGAACACCGAUGGCGAAGGCAAUCCCCUGGGCCUGCACUGACGCUCAUGCACGAAAGCGUGGGGAGCAAACAGG